UACGAAGGUGGCUAGCGUUGUUCGGAAUCACUGGGCGUAAAGGGCGCGUAGGCGGCUUUAUAAGUCGGGGGUGAAAGCCUGUGGCUCAACCACAGAAUUGCCUUCGAUACUGUAGAGCUUGAGACCGGAAGAGGUAAGUGGAACUGCGAGUGUAGAGGUGAAAUUCGUAGAUAUUCGCAAGAACACCAGUGGCGAAGGCGGCUUACUGGUCCGGUUCUGACGCUGAGGCGCGAGAGCGUGGGGAGCAAACGGG
rnacentral:rRNA from 1 species